AAGGCCUGAUGUGUGUGAGAUUACCCGCUGAAUUUAAGCAUAUAAGUAAGCGGAGGAAAAGAAACUAACUAGGAUUCCCUUAGUAAUGGCGAAUGAACAGGGAUCAGCUCAGUGCCAAAUCGGAAUCACUUGUGGUUCUGAAAUGUGGCUUGAAGGCAGUACCAGUGGCAUCGCGGACGAAAGUCUCUUGGAAAAGAGCGUCAUAGAGGGUGAGAAUCCCGUGAGUCGUUCGCCGUUUGUCACGUACGGUCUGCGUUCUAACGAGUCGCGUUCCUUGGGAUUGGAGCGUAAACGGGUGGUAAAUUUCAUCCAAAGCAAAAUAUAUACUCGAGACCGAUAGCACAAA
rnacentral:ncRNA from 1 species